rnacentral:snoRNA from 1 species
UACAAAUGAUGUCUUUUCUCACGAUGGUCUUCCAAGCCCUUCUGGGUUCUGACGACAAUGCCUAUUGGCAACACUGAUGUAGUUGG